rnacentral:rRNA from 1 species
UUUCCGUAGGUGAACCUUGCGGAAGGAUCAUUAACGAGUUUGAAAGGGGUUGUAGCUGGCCUUUCACGAGGCAUGUGCACACCCUGCUCUUCCACUCUCAACCUCUGUGCACUAUUGUAGGCUUGGUAAAAGGCGUUGACUCGCAAGGGUCAGCUGCCGGAAGCCUUGUCUAUGUUUCACUACAAACGCUUCAGUUAUAGAAUGUAACACUUGCGGAUAACGCAUUUAUAUACAACUUUCAGCAACGGAUCUCUUGGCUCUCGCAUCGAUGAAGAACGCAGCGAAAUGCGAUAAGUAAUGUGAAUUGCAGAAUUCAGUGAAUCAUCGAAUCUUUGAACGCACCUUGCGCUCCCUGGUAUUCCGGGGAGCACGCCUGUUUGAGUGUCAUGGUAUUCUCAACCUUCAUAACUUUUUGUUAUCGAAGGCUUGGACUUGGAGGUUGUGCUGGCUCUCGUUAGUCGGCUCCUCUUAAAUGCAUUAGCGUGAACGUUUACGGAUCGCUAUCAGUGUGAUAAUUAUCUGCGCUGUUAGUGUUGAAGUAUGCAUAGUGUCUCGCUUCUAACCGUCCUUCAGUUGGACAACAACACCUGACAUCUGACCUCAAAUCAGGCGGGACUACCCGCUGAACUUAA